GAUGAACGCUGGCGGCGUGCUUAACACAUGCAAGUCGAACGGAAAGGCCCAAGCUUGCUUGGGUACUCGAGUGGCGAACGGGUGAGUAACACGUGGGUGAUCUGCCCCGCACUUCGGGAUAAGCCUGGGAAACUGGGUCUAAUACCGGAUAGGACAGUGGUUUGGAUGCCAUUGUGGAAAGUUUUUUCGGGGUGGGAUGAGCUCGCGGCCUAUCAGCUUGUUGGUGGGGUAAUGGCCUACCAAGGCGUCGACGGGUAGCCGGACUGUGAGGGUGUACGGCCACAUUGGGACUGAGAUACGGCCCAGACACCUACGGGAGGCAGCAGUGGGGAAGAUUGAACAAUGGGCGCAAGCCUGAUGCAGCGACGCCGCGUGGGGGAUGACGGCCUUCGGGUUGUAAACUCCUUUCGCUAGGGACGAAGCGUUAUGUGACGGUACCUAGAGAAGAAGCACCGGCUAACUACGUG
rnacentral:rRNA from 1 species